rnacentral:tRNA from 1 species
GGGGCCGGUUGGUUGUUUGCGUGCUGGUUUGCACCGCAAGCGCACGACCGUGCGCCGUGGCAGCUGAGCGCCUUGCGCGAAGAGCAGCGUUGCCACGUCCCACGAAAACGGGCCGGUAGCUCAGGUGGUUAGAGCGCACGCCUGAUAAGCGUGAGGUCGGAGGUUCAAGUCCUCCUCGGCCCACCAUCUUGGUUGCGCUACCGCCUAUCGGCUGCUUGAGCGCUGGCUGGUUUGCACCACAAGCGCACGACCGUGCGCCGUGGCAGCCUGAGCGCUGUGCGCGAAGAUCGGCGUUGCCACGUUACACAGAAACUGGGGCCAUAGCUCAGUUGGGAGAGCGCGUGCUUUGCAAGCAUGAGGUCGUCGGUUCGAUCCCGUCUGGCUCCACCA